GUCUUGUUUCCUCCCCCCCUCCUUCAUCCCUUAGUGAUUCUCAAGGGGUGCAAGAAGAAAAUGCAGGAUUGUGAAAAUCAAGAGCCAGCCAUAUAAAUGUCCUCUUAGAAAAGAGGUUAGAAGACAUUCAGAGGUGAGUGACGAAACACAGGAAGGAGGAGGAAGAGAUGAUGGAGUAGAGGAGGAAGAGGAGUGGGGGAAAACCAGGUUAUCAGGAUUCAGAUUCCCAAAAGGGUAUCAUAGGGAAGGUGACUGGAAAGGUGGGGUGUCCCUUCCAGCCCUACAAUUCUAUG